AAGACACCCCUCCGGGGCAAGACUUGCUUCAAUGGGGCUUUGGUGCUCACUGAGUCUGCCCCUGAGUAUGUCUUU
rfam:Myotis lucifugus cont2.4424, whole genome shotgun sequence.